UUAUUCUCUGGUUAUUCUGAAGCACCUAAGAUAAUUAAAAUAUUUGUCUAAAAAAAUGGCAGUGAAUGGAAAAUGCAGUUAUCAAACUGUUACCUUUGGUUUCAGGAUACCAUUUGACAAGCUGAAGAUCUGAAGACUAGACAGCGGGAGAAAGGAGUCACCCAGAGAUAUUUGGUGUUUUGGGGAAGCACGAGAAAGCCAGAUACCACUUCUGUUUCCUGAGACACCUGCCUGUACCUCAGCCUCUGUCUGUGCUGGAAACACUUCCCUGCUAUUGGAAACCUGCCCCAGUCUGCUGGCAACGUGCACACACUGAUGCGAGGGCCUCUUUGUGCCACUGCAGUAAGCCCACCUCCAGAAUUACCACAAAGAAUGCAACUGCCACCGAUACAAAAGCCUCCCUGAGCUUUGGGUGUCCUCCCCCUCUGUGGAGAGCCUCUGUCCCCAAAACAUGUCAGCUGGGGACUCUCCCUUUCAUCACCAGCCUCUGUGGCUUUCAGCAUCAAAAGGAAGAUCUGCAUUCAUCUGCUUCUGAGACGUGCUUCCCAACCCUGGUACGGAAAGCAUUGCAAUGGCAUAGCACAGUCACGACAUGAGGGGUGAGCGUCAAACCCCAGACACUGGAUUCCUGGGAUUAGUCAAUUCUGGUAGCCUUAAUAUUUAAUGAAGAGUAACUAGUUGGCUUUCUUAUUGCAGAGAUAAGUUGAAAAAUGCAAAUUGUGUGUAUUGAAAAGGCCCAGAAAGCUGGAGGCAAAUAAAUAGAUUAUUUUUAUUUUAAACCUCAUGAUUUUUUUAAAGCCAUUUCCGUGUUGCCUCUGUGUGCCAGUGCUGAGAGCAGGAAGGACUGGUGGCCCGAUUCAUUGCUGCAUCACUCCGGGGCCGUGCUGGGAGAGCUCUGCAGGAGUUCACAGACCUGAACGGGUAUAACUGAGGCAUUUCAGGCUGCCCGGUGGAGCCUCUUGAUUCUGAGUCUCAGGCAUGGUCAGCUUUGCCCAGCCUCUGAGAAGCCCUGGCAAUACUCGUAUGUGGACUCUCAAAUAUCCCGUAAAAUAACCUCUUCCAAAGAAGUAUCCCUCCGGACUCCUAUCUGGGUCUCACUUUAUGCAAUUUCAGAUAGUCAGAGAGCUUUACACGCUACAUUGCUCUCAGAAAUAGAAUUCUCCUAAAACACAGCUUUAAGCAGCAAGUAUUUCAGUGUCUAGAAUUAUGCUAACCACUGCUCAUCUAAAUUAUUAUAUUAACUGGAAAGGGGGAGCACACACAAUUUAGCAGGGGAGAAAGAGCAACAAAUCUAAGAAGAAGAAUUGGAGCUUUACAGAGAGAAGAAAGCCAGGAAUCUGGUGACGAUAAAAGCUUUGCUGGAAUUAAAAAAUCUUUUAUUGGAGGAAUUUCAAAGCUCUUUCUUCUCAGGGUACAUGUUCUGGAAGGCGAUGCACGGAUCUGCUAGGGAGAAGCACGUUGACAGGGGCCUAGACAUGAGAGCUGUCACUAAGACAUUGCAGUGACGGAAGGAGGUUUGGAUAGACCUCAAAACCACGCCAUACAUCACCAAAACAAUUCGCGCUCCAUCCUGCCUGGGGAAAGCCUUCCCUGCCAAAAGGAUGAGUGUCUGCUGGAUCUCCUUCCCCCACCUACACCAGGCUGUGCAGAGCUAAUAAUUUAGAUCUGAGCACAUUGAUCUGAGCACACUGUUUCCCCUCAAGGUUGCUCUUUCGGAGAUCAAACGCAGCUCUGCAGCCAGCAGUACCAGUGGAAGAGAAGCCUCACGUAAGCCUCCCCAGUCAGAGGACAGAAAUGAUAUUAAAAACAUGUAUAUGAAAAGAGUUAAUGAUUCCCGCAGCUGCUAAUUCAGCAGGGAAAAGAUUUUCUGUGAUUAAAGCAAAGCAAAGCAAAUGGGAAUCACAGCUCCUGGGUCUGCUACCUGGUCUCCCUUUAGCUCACUC